rnacentral:rRNA from 1 species
UACAGAGGUCCCGAGCGUUGUUCGGAUUCACUGGGCGUAAAGGGUGCGUAGGUGGCCGGGUAAGUUUGGUGUGAAAUCUCCGGGCUUAACCCGGAAACUGCAUUGAAUACUAUCCUGCUUGAGGGUUGGAGGGGGGACUGGAAUUCUCGGUGUAGCAGUGAAAUGCGUAGAUAUCGAGAGGAACACCAGUGGCGAAGGCGAGUCCCUGGACAACACCUGACACUGAGGCACGAAAGCGAGGGGAGCAAACAGG